rnacentral:rRNA from 1 species
UACGUAGGGGGCAAGCGUUGUCCGGAAUUAUUGGGCGUAAAGAGCGCGUAGGCGGUCCGAUAAGUCGGCUGUGAAAGUCAGGGGCUCAACCCUUGAAAGCCGGCCGAUACUGUCGGACUAGAGUCCGGAAGAGGCAAGUGGAAUUCCCGGUGUAGCGGUGAAAUGCGCAGAUAUCGGGAGGAACACCAAUGGCGAAGGCAGCUUGCUGGGACGGUACUGACGCUGAGGCGCGAAAGCUAGGGGAGCGAACGGG